UCAGAAUUAUAAACAGAAUCGUCACCUCUAAGCAUCUAUGACAUAUGACCCAUGGAUAUUUUUUCUCAGUCUUGCUCUUUUUCCAGAAAUCAAGUGACAGAACAUCCUACCCCUAUCUGAAAAAAAGAAUCACCUACGGAGGAAGUUACACUCCACUUUCAUUUUGCGUUCCACCAAACUAUUGCUCUCGGGUCGCCUGCAGAGCCACCAGCACAAGCAUAUGAGCCAGAACUCUCCCUUACCCACUCCGGUGAUGAGAGAAAGACCACGACAAGUAUCAUUUCUAGUAUUUGGCCUGCUGGGCAAUGGAUUUACAAAAUUACCAUUGUGCCACAGAAGAUACAGACUGCGGUACUGGUGACCAGAAAGGUAGAGAUUUGAGCGAAGAAAAUAUGUGCUGAAGAGCUAGAAAGCCUCUCUGAAUAGAAGUCAGGAAAAUGAACUGGACUACAUACUAAAGUACAUAUGGUGCGGCAGCUGAACCCUCUCCUAAAAUUCAUUUCUUGAUAAUCCAUUCACUGGAUUAUCUAGCUUUAAUAGCAACUUGAACAGCAGGUUGUAAAUAAAGCAAAAAUAACAGAAUAACAGAAAUGAGGCAUGGGCUGUUUUUUGCAAAACUGCCAUUGAAUAAAUAAGGUGACAAGGGUCUGAGAAAGACUCAUAUUCCUGCCUCCUUUUUAAAAAUGGAUUAAAACCACAGGGGAGUCUCUUCACGCUUUGAUGACAACACGCUUUGAUGCUCAACGUGGCACACUGCAGCACAAGCCAUGGGCCAUGGAGAAGAAUAAACGUAAUACAAAAGAAGGGAAAUGCAUGUAUGAAGGCAGCGUA